rnacentral:rRNA from 1 species
UAAUACAUAGGAGCGUGCCAAAUGGUGGGGAAUAACUAAGGGAAACUUUAGCUAAUACCGCAUGAAAUCGUGAGAUCAAAGGGGGCCUAUCCUUGGAAGCUCCCGCCAUUUGAGCGGCCUAUGUCCUAUUAGCUAGUUGGUAGGGUAAAGGCCUACCAAGGCAAUGAUGGGUAACUGGUCUGAGAGGAUGAUCAGUCACACUGGAACUGAGACACGGUCCAG